rnacentral:rRNA from 1 species
GUGGGGAAUAUUGCACAAUGGGCGAAAGCCUGAUGCAGCAACGCCGCGUGAGUGAUGAAGGCCUUCGGGUUGUAAAGCUCUGUCUUUUGGGACGAUAAUGACGGUACCAAAGGAGGAAGCCACGGCUAACUACGUGCCAGCAGCCGCGGUAAUACGUAGGUGGCAAGCGUUGUCCGGAAUUACUGGGCGUAAAGAAUGCGUAGGUGGAUAUGCAAGUCAGAUGUGAAAUACCCGGGCUCAACUUGGGUGCUGCAUUUGAAACUAUAUAUCUAGAGUGCAGGAGAGGAAAGCGGAAUUCCUAGUGUAGCGGUGAAAUGCGUAGAGAUUAGGAAGAACACCAGUGGCGAAGGCGGCUUUCUGGACUGUAACUGACACUGAGGCAUGAAAGCGUGGGGAGCAAACA